GCGAUUUUAGUUUAGGUGUAAGAAUGUUGGUUUGUCUAACCGAAGGGGGUGUUUUAUCAAGUCGCU
rnacentral:tRNA from 1 species